rnacentral:rRNA from 1 species
AGUGUAGGGUUCCUAGCGAGCCCAACCUCCCACCCGUGUUUACUGUACCUUAGUUGCUUCGGCGGGCCCGCCAUUCAUGGCCGCCGGGGGCUCUCAGCCCCGGGCCCGCGCCCGCCGGAGACACCACGAACUCUGUCUGAUCUAGUGAAGUCUGAGUUGAUUGUAUCGCAAUCAGUUAAAACUUUCAACAAUGGAUCUCUUGGUUCCGGCAUCGAUGAAGAACGCAGCGAAAUGCGAUAACUAGUGUGAAUUGCAGAAUUCCGUGAAUCAUCGAGUCUUUGAACGCACAUUGCGCCCCCUGGUAUUCCGGGGGGCAUGCCUGUCCGAGCGUCAUUGCUGCCCAUCAAGCACGGCUUGUGUGUUGGGUCGUCGUCCCCUCUCCGGGGGGGACGGGCCCCAAAGGCAGCGGCGGCACCGCGUCCGAUCCUCGAGCGUAUGGGGCUUUGUCACCCGCUCUGUAGGCCCGGCCGGCGCUUGCCGAACGCAAAUCAAUCUUUUUCCAGGUUGACCUCGGAUCAGGUAGGGAUACCCGCUGAACUUAAGCAUA